GGAUAACCUACCCUUAGGACCGGGAUAACCUUGGGAAACUGAGGAUAAUACUGGAUAGGCAAUUUUUCCUGUAAUGGUUUUUUGUUUAAAUGUUUUUUCGCCUAAGGAUGGGUCUGCGGCCGAUUAGGUAGCUGGUUAGGUAAUGGCUUACCAAGCCGUUGAUCGGUACGGGUUGUGAGAGCAAGAGCCCGGAGAUGGAACCUGAGACAAGGUUCCAGGCCCUACGGGGUGCAGCAGGCGCGAAACCUCCGCAAUGUGAGAAAUCGCGACGGGGGGAUCCUAAGUGCCAUUCUUAACGGGAUGGCUUUUCAUUAGUGUAAAGAGCUUUUGGAAUAAGAGCUGGGCAAGACCGGUGCCAGCCGCCGCGGUAACACCGGCAGCUCUAGUGGUAGCUACUUUUAUUGGGCCUAAAGCGUUCGUAGCCGGUUUGAUAAGUCACUGGUGAAAUCCUAUAGCUUAACUGUGGGAAUUGCUGGUGAUACUGUUGAACUUGAGGUCGGGAGAGGUUAGCGGUACUCCCAGGGUAGAGGUGAAAUUCUGUAAUCCUGGGAGGACCACCUGUGGCGAAGGCGGCUAACUGGAACGAACCUGACGGUGAGGGACGAAAGCCAGGGGCGCGAACCGGAUUAGAUACCCGGGUAGUCCUGGCCGUAAACGAUGCGGACUUGGUGUUGGGAUGGCUUUG
rnacentral:rRNA from 1 species